rnacentral:rRNA from 1 species
GGAAUAUUGGUCAAUGGACGAGAGUCUGAACCAGCCAAGUAGCGUGCAGGAUGACGGCCCUAUGGGUUGUAAACUGCUUUUAUACAGGGAUAACGCGGGGAACGUGUUCCCUUUUGUAGGUACUGUUUGAAUAAGGACCGGCUAAUUCCGUGCCAGCAGCCGCGGUAAUACGGAAGGUCCGGGCGUUAUCCGGAUUUAUUGGGUUUAAAGGGAGCGCAGGCUGAUUAUUAAGCGUGACGUGAAAUGUAGCCGCUCAACGGCUGAACUGCGUCGCGAACUGGUAGUCUUGAGUGAGUUCGAUGUUGGCGGAAUUCGUGGUGUAGCGGUGAAAUGCUUAGAUAUCACGAAGAACUCCGAUUGCGAAGGCAGCCAACAAGGCCUUUACUGACGCUAAGGCUCGAAGGUGCGGGUAUCGAACA